ACAGGCGUUGAGGGUGUCUGUGGUCAUUAUAGACAUUAUCACUGGAAGGAGAAGCUGAACCACUUCAACAAGAUCUAUGUCAAGAGGUGGCUGAUAGCUGGUGAGAACUUCAUGGAACCCGAGUUGAUCGCCUUCUACCGCAAGAUGGAUCUGAAGCAGGCUAUCAUGCUGGUGGAGAGUGGGCAGCUGCCCUCUGCCCUCCCUUCCAUGGUCUCCAUGGUCUCUCUUAUUGGCUCCUGUUUCUGUUUAACGUUGCUUUUUUUUGUUUUCUUUUUUUGUUUGUUUAAGAAGAAGAAUAUAUUUAAUUUUGUUCCUCUGCAACCCGUCCUUAGUACUUAUCAUCCUUGCAGUUAAGGGCCCAUUACUGUCCACUUCCUCUCCACCAGAGUUCUGCUGCAUGACAAUGACCAGGAGUUGGCAAGACGGUGUAAACCGAUCUGGGACCAGGUUAACAGUAGUCUGAGUUUCUGACUUAAACUGGGACCAGGUUAACAGUGGUCUGAGUUCCUGACUUAAACUGGGACCAGGUUAACAGUGGUUAGUCUGAGUUCCUGACUUAAACUGGGACCAGGUUAACAGUGGUCUGAGUUCCUGACUUAAACUGGGACCAGGUUAACAGUGGUCUGAGUUCCUGACUUAAACUGGGACCAGGUUAACAGUGGUUAGUCUGAGUUCCUGACUUAAACUGGGACCAGGUUAACAGUGGUCUGAGUUCCUGACUUGGGUGUGAAGGCGUUUUGGUUGUUCCUUUCUGAUCUGUGUCUUCCCAGGAACAUCUGGCCCAGAGCGACUCCACGCCUUUCUAAGAAACGUGAGGAAGAGAUCAGAAGGAUCCUGAGGUCCAAUCUACAGAACAACAUGCAAAGAAUGUGCUCCUUCUCCUAGGCCUGGAGUCCGGAGAUUCCGGUUUGAAUCAAACAUCCAGGUUUUCAGUCCCGACAGUGUCCCUACCGUCCAUUUUGAGCAGCCUUCGACUCCAAGAACACCUGACACGGUCAGCCUAGAAGAGGAGGUAUCCAAGGUAACCGGAUGGCGGAGGACCCAGGGGUUCUGUAUCAGACAGCAGCAGGGAGAGCUGAACUACCAGAGAGACUAGCACGCUGUCUGGGUGACCCCGGUCCCAAUAAGGUUGAGAAUAAGCCUUUCAUGUCCUGAUAAAGCACAUCUUUUGAACUAAAGUACAUGAAGUUUGCCUGUGUACCAGUCUGUUUGUGCUAACAUUCAACUCAAAUGUAGUCGUGUGUGUGGUAUGAUACAGAGUACGAGGAGUGGUAUGUUGGCACAAAACAGGUCUGGAUUUCAGGCUAACAUCCAGUCGGGAGGAUAAUGGGAUUUGAAGCUCCUUCUCUUUGGCACUCCUUUGUGUGAGAUGCAGACAUCUUAUGUCAUGGUAUUAAAGGAUAUUAGUUUCUCAUUUAUCCACGUUCCAUUAUUGUAUUUUUCAUGUUCUUUGGUGUUUCCUCUUGUGAUGUGAGAUAAUGUUAAUGAUUUGCCAAUGGAUCACAUACCAUUUUUUUUUCACAAAUGCAAGUGUCAAGAUUUGUUUGCUUUUUAAGAUUUGUUUUAGUGAUGUAAUAUCAUUCAACUUCCUACUGACUGCCUCACGGGGUGGACGGCCAACUGCUGACUGCCUCACGGGGUGGACGGCCAACUGCUGACUGCCUCACGGGGUGGACGGCCAACUGCUGACUGCCUCACGGGGUGGACGGCCAACUGCUGACUGCCUCACGGGGUGGACGGCCAACUGCUGACUGCCUCACGGGGUGGACGGCCAACUGCUGACUGCCUCACGGGGUGGACGGCCAACUGCUGACUGCCUCACGGGGUGGACGGCCAACUGCUGACUGCCUCACGGGGUGGACGGCCAACUGCUGACUGCCUCACGGGGUGGACGGCCAACUGCUGACUGCCUCACGGGGUGGACGGCCAACUGCUGACUGCCUCACGGGGUGGACGGCCAACUGCUGACUGCCUCACUGGGUGGACGGCCAACUACUGACUGCCUCACGGGGUGGACGGCCAACUACUGACUGCCUCACGGGGUGGACGGCCAACUACUAAAAGCACAACCCUUUGCAGCAAAAAAACACUACGGUAACUACAAAAUACCAAUUAGUGGAAAAAGAUCAGAAUUGGGCUGCCUGUGUAAACGUAGCCUAAAUGCUCAUGCCGUUUCCAGUAUUUAUCUGGAUAAAAGCCUUUGCAUAGGAAGAAAAACAUCAAAAUAGAGCCCAUAUCAUGCCUUGUCUCCUGUAUUUUGGGGGGUACACCUAAGACAGUUAUACCUGUCAAAGCAUAUUUUGUUUUGCAAUUAAAAAAAAAAAAAGGUCUACAAGUGUGCCAAGUUUAUAAUAAUUUUUUAACAAGAAAGACUAUGUAUUUGAAAUGAAAAUGGUUGAACUGUUUGCUGUUGGUAGUGAGAAGAAAAAAAGCUUUACAGAUUACAUGCAUCAGAAAUGAAGAUGACUAUAU